rnacentral:rRNA from 1 species
UACGUAGGGCGCAAGCGUUGUCCGGAAUUAUUGGGCGUAAAGAGCUCGUAGGCGGUUUGUCGCGUCUGCCGUGAAAGUCCGGGGCUCAACCUCGGAUCUGCGGUGGGUACGGGCAGACUAGAGUGUGGUAGGGGUAACUGGAAUUCCUGGUGUAGCGGUGGAAUGUGCAGAUAUCAGGAGGAACACCGAUGGCGAAGGCAGGUUACUGGGCCAUUACUGACGCUGAGGAGCGAAAGCGUGGGGAGCGAACAGGAUUAGAUACCCUGGUAGUCCACGCCGUAAACGUUGGGCACUAGAUGUGGGACUCAUUCCACGAGUUCCGCGUCGCAGCUAACGCAUUAAGUGCCCCGCCUGGGGAGUACGGCCGCAAGGCUAAA